UACGAAGGGGGCUAGCGUUGCUCGGAAUGACUGGGCGUAAAGGGCGCGUAGGCGGAUGGCACAGUCAGAUGUGAAAUUCCCGGGCUUAACCUGGGGGCUGCAUUUGAUACGUGUUGUCUAGAGUGAGGAAGAGGGUUGUGGAAUUCCCAGUGUAGAGGUGAAAUUCGUAGAUAUCGGAAGGAACACCAGUGGCGAAAGCGGCUUCCUGGUCCAGCACCGACGUCAGGCACGAAAGCGUGGGGAGCAAACAGG
rnacentral:rRNA from 1 species